rnacentral:rRNA from 1 species
AUGGCAUCUCGCUGGUGGCCACCAGCGCUUGCGCGACGACUCGUCCCGCCUGUCCGUCGUGUUUCCUCUGAGGUCACAGAUGGGAACCCCAGUGGCUGCGGGGAAGAUCCAAGGAGCGCAACCAAGGGUCGUACGACUGAAAUCUUGAUCAUGGAGGACGAAGAAGAAGUCAGCGACAUCGAUUACACCGUGGAAGUUAAUGCUAUUCCACAGAGCAGUCACCGUGAUGGCUCUAUCUACAGGGGCAUGCGUCGUUCUGGCUGGAAAAGGGAUUAUCGCGUCGCAGACCGUAGCGAGACUCGGUUGGAGGCAAUGAUGUUUUCAGAUCCCACAAAGGGCAUGAAAGAUUGUUGUAACAUGCUGCAAAUUUUCGCAUUGGAGUUGGCUAAAAUUCCUGGGGAUAAUGGCUUAGUAGAGUUAUAUGGAUACAUAGCAGCGCGGGAUGAAGUGGAUAUGUUGCUUAAUUAUGUCGUCAAUAUUUGCAGGAAUGAUCCCAUCAUUGUGGCGCAGGGUUCUCUCAUUUGCAUGGCUAGUGGCCCUAGGCGAGGGAUGGAGUUGGCGAACUGUGCAAUAAUUGAGUAUGACAUGAGGAUCAAAAGAGGCAGACAUGAAAGAGAUGACCUACAACUGAUCGACGGCGCAAAAGAUUUUUACAUCACGAGCACAUGGAAUCGGCCGUUCACAAUUAACAUCCGUGGCAACUGUGGUGGUGCGGUCGGCAUGACUUUAGCAUGUCUUCACAACGCGGUCGAGGCAACUGUAGAGGUUCUUAUAUCAGAAUUGCAUGGCAGUUUCAACAUGUCUCUCAGAUGUUUUACUAGCAGGUUCUAUAAAGAGAUCCGACUGUUUGAUGGCGUCGUUAUCGAGUCUUGUGGCUUGAAGAGGUAUCUGGUUGCGGUAAUGAAGAUGUCUUUCAUACGUUUGAAAUUCAAGGUACACACACCGUCAUCCAGUUCCAAGUCAAAACUUUGUUGUACCUUCAAGGCGAAGACCAAUGGGCAUAAUACCCGAGAGAUAGACUGA